UUGACGAUGUGGCUGCUGCAUGAUCUGUUACUCUUCUUUUUUAAGCAAAACCCAGCUGACAAAAUUCCCAAAGUUUUAAAUCUUUUGAUUUUCAAUUCAACAUUAAUCAAAUUGAAUUGGAAGCCCUUGUGGCUAUGAUUUUGGGGGGUUUUCAGAGGAAAUUGAAGGAGAGGAAUUUAGAGAGAAAGGAAAUGGAAGGAAUUGAGAAGAAGGGGAAUUGGGGAGAGGAGAGGAAGAAGAUGAGAUCUGAGAAUAGAAAAAGCGGGAAGAGAGAGAAAGGGGAG
rnacentral:lncRNA from 1 species